AUUGCACGCUGGCGGCCGGCCUAACACAUGCAAGUCGGGCGAGCGGCGGCCGGGUGCGUAAUGUAUGGGGAUCUUCCUGAUUGAGGCGGAUAACUACUGGAAACGGUAGCUAAUACCGCAUACCAUCAGAUGCACCCAUCUGGGAUUAGCUUGUCGGUGAGGGAACGGCUCACCUAGGCUACGAUCCCUAGCUGGUCUGAGAGGAUGAUCAGCAAAACUGGGACGGAGACACGGCCCAGAGUCUGACGGGAGGCAGCAGUGGGGAAUAUAGCACAAGGGGCGCAAGCCUGAUGCAGCAAUGCAGCGUGUAUGAAGAAGGCCUUCGGGGUGUAAAGAACUAUCAGUCGGGAGGCGGGACCGACAGAGGAAGCACCGGCUAACUCCGGGCCAGCAGCCGCGGUAAUAC
rnacentral:rRNA from 1 species